GAUGAACGCUGGCGGCGUGCCUAAUACAUGCAAGUCGAGCGAACGGACGAGAAGCUUGCUUUUCUGAUGUUAGCGGCGGACGGGUGAGUAACACGUGGAUAACCUACCUAUAAGACUGGGAUAACUUCGGGAAACCGGAGCUAAUACCGGAUAAUAUUUUGAACCGCAUGGUUCAAAAGUGAAAGACGGUCUUGCUGUCACUUAUAGAUGGAUCCGCGCUGCAUUAGCUAGUUGGUAAGGUAACGGCUUACCAAGGAAACGAUGCAUAGCCGACCUGAGAGGGUGAUCGGCCACACUGGAACUGAGACACGGUCCAGACUCCUACGGGAGGCAGCAGUAGGGAAUCUUCCGCAAUGGGCGAAAGCCUGACGGAGCAACGCCGCGUGAGUGAUGAAGGUCUUCGGAUCGUAAAACUCUGUUAUUAGGGAAGAACAUAUGUGUAAGUAACUGUGCACAUCUUGACGGUACCUAAUCAGAAAGCCACGGCUAACUACGUG
rnacentral:rRNA from 1 species